rnacentral:rRNA from 1 species
UACAGAGGGUGCAAGCGUUAAUCGGAAUUACUGGGCGUAAAGCGUGCGUAGACGGUAGCGUAAGUCGGGUGUGAAAGCCCCGGGCUCAACCUGGGAAUUGCAUUCGAGACUGCUCUGCUAGGGUGCGGAAGAGGGGAGCGGAAUUCCGGUGUAGCGGUGAAAUGACGUAGAUAUCGGAAGGAACACCAGUGGCGAAAGCGGCUCCCUGGUCCAGCACCGGACCGUUCAGGCACGAAAGGCGUGG